rnacentral:rRNA from 1 species
UACGUAGGGGGGCGAGCGUUGUCCGGAAUUAUUGGGCGUAAAGAGCUCGUAGGCGGUGUGUCGCGUCGGCCGUGAAAACCUGCAGCUUAACUGUGGGCUUGCGGUCGAUACGGGCAUCACUGGAGUUCGGCAGGGGAGACUGGAAUUCCUGGUGUAGCGGUGAAAUGCGCAGAUAUCAGGAGGAACACCGGUGGCGAAGGCGGGUCUCUGGGCCGAUACUGACGCUGAGGAGCGAAAGCGUGGGGAGCGAACAGG